GCUACACAUGCAGUCGAGCGGUAACAGAAAGUAGCUUGCUACUUUGCUGACGAGCGGCGGACGGGUGAGUAAUGCUUGGGAACAUGCCUUGAGGUGGGGGACAACAGUUGGAAACGACUGCUAAUACCGCAUAAUGUCUACGGACCAAAGGGGGCUUCGGCUCUCGCCUUUAGAUUGGCCCAAGUGGGAUUAGCUAGUUGGUGAGGUAAUGGCUCACCAAGGCAACGAUCCCUAGCUGGUUUGAGAGGAUGAUCAGCCACACUGGAACUGAGACACGGUCCAGACUCCUACGGGAGGCAGCAGUGGGGAAUAUUGCACAAUGGGCGCAAGCCUGAUGCAGCCAUGCCGCGUGUGUGAAGAAGGCCUUCGGGUUGUAAAGCACUUUCAGUCAGGAGGAAAGGUUAGNAGUUAAUACCUGCUAGCUGUGACGUUACUGACAGAAGAAGCACCGGCUAACUCCGUGCCAGC
rnacentral:rRNA from 1 species